rnacentral:rRNA from 1 species
UCGGGAAUUUUGGACAAUGGGGGCAACCCUGAUCCAGCAAUGCCGCGUGAGUGAAGAAGGCCUUCGGGUUGUAAAGCUCUUUUGUCAGGGAAGAAACGGUAGUAGCGAAUAACUAUUACUAAUGACGGUACCUGAAGAAUAAGCACCGGCUAACUACGUGCCAGCAGCCGCGGUAAUACGUAGGGUGCAAGCGUUAAUCGGAAUUACUGGGCGUAAAGCGUGCGCAGGCGGUUGUGUAAGUCAGAUGUGAAAUCCCCGGGCUCAACCUGGGAAUUGCAUUUGAGACUGCACGGCUAGAGUGUGUCAGAGGGGGGUAGAAUUCCACGUGUAGCAGUGAAAUGCGUAGAUAUGUGGAGGAAUACCGAUGGCGAAGGCAGCCCCCUGGGAUAACACUGACGCUCAUGCACGAAAGCGUGGGGAGCAAACAGGAUUAGAUACCCCCGUAGUCCCUGAGCGGGCUGGCAAGGCGCAU